UACGUAGGGUGCAAGCGUUAAUCGGAAUUACUGGGCGUAAAGCGUGCGCAGGCGGUUUUGUAAGUCUGACGUGAAAUCCCCGGGCUCAACCUGGGAAUUGCGUUGGAGACUGCAAGGCUAGAGUGUGUCAGAGGGGGGUAGAAUUCCACGUGUAGCAGUGAAAUGCGUAGAGAUGUGGAGGAAUACCGAUGGCGAAGGCAGCCCCCUGGGUCAAGAUUGACGCUCAUGCACGAAAGCGUGGGGAGCAAACAGG
rnacentral:rRNA from 1 species